GCAGUAGCUCAAUUUGGUAGAGCACCGGUCUCCAAAACCGAAGGUUGUGGGUUCAAGUCCCUCCUGCC
rnacentral:tRNA from 1 species